UACGUAGGGUGCAAGCGUUGUCCGGAAUUACUGGGCGUAAAGCGCGCGCAGGCGGCCCUUUAAGUCCAUCGGUCAAAUGCCGGAGCUCAACUCCGCGCGUGCCGAGGAUACUGGAGGGCUGGAGACACGUAGAGGCAAGCGGAAUUCCGGGUGUAGCGGUGGAAUGCGUAGAGAUCCGGAAGAACACCGGAGGCGAAGGCGGCUUGA
rnacentral:rRNA from 1 species